GAUGAACGCUGGCGGCGUGCCUAAUACAUGCAAGUCGAGCGAACAGACGAGGAGCUUGCUCCUCUGACGUUAGCGGCGGACGGGUGAGUAACACGUGGAUAACCUACCUAUAAGACUGGGAUAACUUCGGGAAACCGGAGCUAAUACCGGAUAAUAUAUUGAACCGCAUGGUUCAAUAGUGAAAGACGGUUUUGCUGUCACUUAUAGAUGGAUCCGCGCCGCAUUAGCUAGUUGGUAAGGUAACGGCUUACCAAGGCAACGAUGCGUAGCCGACCUGAGAGGGUGAUCGGCCACACUGGAACUGAGACACGGUCCAGACUCCUACGGGAGGCAGCAGUAGGGAAUCUUCCGCAAUGGGCGAAAGCUUGACGGAGCAACGCCGCGUGAGUGAUGAAGGUCUUCGGAUCGUAAAACUCUGUUAUUAGGGAAGAACAAAUGUGUAAGUAACUAUGCACGUCUUGACGGUACCUAAUCAGAAAGCCACGGCUAACUGCGUG
rnacentral:rRNA from 1 species